CCAUUUUGCGUUAUUAUCCCAUCCGUCCUUUUACUUCCAUUGCGCUCUAUUUCUCACUAUCCGGCGUAUACGAGCCACCGACAACUCCGCCGGGAUCAUUAGCGGCCACCGUCUUCCUCCUGUUUCGUGAUCUUCAACGAGUUUUCUUCUAAAGAAACUAGUGGCUUCUAGUGAUUUGGGAGGAUCACUCUUCUGGUCAGCUGUGCUCUGAAGCAUUAGGCGGUUGUUAUAUAAAUGUCAAAUGAUGUGGAAAAUCCCAAAGAUGGAGAUGCCAGGAAGUCUCCGGAUGCUUCUUCACCACCACCAAGUCUACAUUCGACUUGGUACGAUGGUUUACUUCAGCAAGCAUCAGUUUAUGGAGUAGCUGCUGGGUACUGUCUAUCAGCAUCAUUACUUUCCAUCAUUAACAAGUGGGCCGUCAUGAAAUUUCCUUACCCAGGGGCACUGACUGCGCUGCAGUAUUUCACAAGUGCAGCUGGAGUUCUCAUGUGCGGGUGGCUCAAGGUUCUAGAGCAUGAUAAGCUUGAUCUUAAAACAAUGUGGCGGUUUCUGCCAGCUUCAAUUAUAUUUUAUCUCUCUCUUUUUACGAACAGUGAGCUUCUCCUCCAUGCCAAUGUUGACACUUUUAUUGUCUUCAGAUCAGCUGUCCCCAUCUUUGUUGCAAUAGGAGAGACCCUCUACUUGCACCAACCAUGGCCUGCUAUUAAAACAUGGGGGUCACUGGGUACAAUCUUUGCUGGUAGUGUGCUCUAUGUCACUACUGAUUACCAAUUCACACUUACAGCUUAUAGCUGGGCAGUGGCGUACUUAGUGAGCAUGUCCAUUGAUUUUGUUUAUAUCAAGCAUGUAGUAAUGACAAUUGGCUUAAACACGUGGGGACUCGUGCUAUACAACAAUCUUGAGGCUUUGAUGCUUUUUCCUAUUGAGCUGCUUAUAAUGGGCGAACUGAAGAAAAUAAAGCAUGAAAUUCAGGAUGAGUCAGAUUGGUACAGUUUUCAAGUGGUGUUACCCGUAGCCCUGUCGUGUUUGUUUGGUUUAGCCAUCUCUUUCUUUGGAUUUUCUUGCCGUAGAACAAUAUCUGCGACAGGCUUUACUGUUCUUGGCAUAGUGAACAAACUAUUGACAGUGGUGAUAAAUCUAAUUAUCUGGGAUAAGCACUCGACUCUUGUUGGAACAGUGGGACUCUUGAUCUGCAUGCUUGGUGGUGUUAUGUACCAGCAAUCCACGAGCAACAAGCCUAAGGCUGUGAACGAUGUAAAUCCACAAGCAGCUGAUGAGGAGCAAGAAAAGCUUCUUGAAAUGCAAAGUAGCAUACAGAGAACUGAGAAUGAGAAGCAAGUUACACAAUCGGAAGAUGAGAAGCAAUAACAUAUUCUUGGGAAGAGUUCCCUUUUCAUUGUUGUAUGUCAAAGAUAUUGUUGAAAUUCAAUUAUACACAUUGUCAAAAACCCAGUGCUGUCUGAACUGCCAGAUUGGGUAUGUAGUCAGCUGCUAGUUACUUGGAGCGAAUUCCAUGAGGAAAAGGAGAGUAGAUCGCUACAUUUUAGUGGGUAUGAAGUCAGCUACCUUCAACUUUGCAAAAGUACGUGUUAAGUUUAUCUUCUGUAGUUUUGAUUCAUAUUCAGCUAACUGAUAACAGUAAGGUUUCUCCUCCCAAUUCGAACAGCAGGUGAUGAUAGAGAAAUAUUUGUUUAAUGCAUUUGUUCGACAUGGUGACAGACUAUUCGGACUCCUGUACCCAAACCAGUGUCAUGCUUCUUCCUAGUAAUUUGUGUUACACGCUAGAUGAAUUUAUCUUCUUCAAGUAUGGUUAGUAAAGUCAUGUACAUGCUAGAAGUCCUCUUGAAUGGGAAUUUGCAUGUAAAUAGUGGUAAUGUCGACAACUUUUUAUUCAUAUGCAACUGUAAGGAAGGAUAUAUCCUAAUA